rnacentral:rRNA from 4 species
GACCCCAUGCCGAACUCAGAAGUGAAACGCCGUAGCGCCGAUGGUAGUGUGGGGUUUCCCCAUGCGAGAGUAGGGAACUGCCAGGC